AGAACCUUUAAUUGAGUCCAGAGAGGCUUGGAAGGUUGCGGUGCGCCGCACGUGUCAGAGCGAGUAUGCAAAAUCGCCUUCUAUCUGAAUGGAUGGAAGGCGAUUUUUUUAU
rfam:Lactobacillus perolens DSM 12744 Scaffold23, whole genome shotgun sequence.